AAGCGCUUGUGACCAGACUUGCGCCCGGCUGAUCAUCCGGUGUUCUCACCGGUGCACUCUGCCGGGCUCAGGCCAGCAUCGGUUCUCGCGGGGGGAUAAAGGCCCAGGGAACGUGGCUCCUCCGGGAGUGUUAUAGCCCUGGGUGCAAUGCCCUCGCGGGGACCGAGGUUCGCGCAUCUGCAAGGAUGCUGGCGUAAUGGUCAUCAGCGA
rnacentral:rRNA from 1 species